AGUGAACGCUGGCGGUAGGCCUAACACAUGCAAGUCGAACGGCAGCACAGUAAGAGCUUGCUCUUACGGGUGGCGAGUGGCGGACGGGUGAGGAAUACAUCGGAAUCUACUUUUUCGUGGGGGAUGACGUAGGGAAACUUACGCUAAUACCGCAUACGACCUACGGGUGAAAGCAGGGGAUCUUCGGACCUUGCGCGAUUGAAUGAGCCGAUGUCGGAUUAGCUAGUUGGCGGGGUAAAGGCCCACCAAGGCGACGAUCCGUAGCUGGUCUGAGAGGAUGAUCAGCCACACUGGAACUGAGACACGGUCCAGACUCCUACGGGAGGCAGCAGUGGGGAAUAUUGGACAAUGGGCGCAAGCCUGAUCCAGCCAUACCGCGUGGGUGAAGAAGGCCUUCGGGUUGUAAAGCCCUUCUGUUGGGAAAGAAAAGCAGCAGGUUAAUACCCCGCUGUUCUGACGGUACCCAAAGAAUAAGCACCGGCUAACUUCGUG
rnacentral:rRNA from 1 species